GUGCCAGCCGCCGCGGUGAGACGUAGGGGGCAAGCGUUGUCCGGAUUUAUUGGGCGUAAAGAGCUCGUAGGCGGCUUGGCAAGUCGGAUGUGAAAUCUCCAGGCUUAACCUGGGAGUCGCCAUCCGAUACUGCUAUGGCUAGAGUCCGGUAGAGGAUCGUGGAAUUCCUGGUGUAGCGGUGAAAUGCGCAGAUAUCAGGAGGAACACCAACGGCGAAGGCAGCGAUCUGGGCCGGUACUGACGCUGAGGAGCGAAAGCGUGGGGAGCGAACAGGAUUAGAUACCCUGGUAGUCCACGCCCUAAACGUUGGGCACUAGGUGUGGGGCCUAUUUCGACGGGUUCCGUGCCGUAGCUAACGCAUUAAGUGCCCCGCCUGGGGAGUACGGUCGCAAGGCUAAAACUCAAAGGAAUUGACGGGGGCCUGCACAAGCGGCGGAGCAUGCGGCUUAAUUCGAUGCAACGCGAAAAACCUCACCUGGGUUUGACAUGUAGGGAAAAGCUGCAGAGAUGCAGUGUCCUUUUAGGGCCCUUCACAGGUGGUGCAUGGCUGUCGUCAGCUCGUGUCGUGAGAUGUUGGGUUAAGUCCCGCAACGAGCGCAACCCUUGCCCUAUGUUGCCAGCGGAUAAUGCCGGGGACUCGUAGGGGACUGCCGGAGUUAAUUCGGAGGAAGGUGGGGACGACGUCAAGUCAUCAUGCCCCUUACAUCCAGGGCUGCACGCAUGCUACAAUGGCCGGUACAAAGGGUCGCCAACCCGCGAGGGGGAGCCAAUCCCAGAAAGCCGGUCUCAGUUCGGAUCGCAGUCUGCAACUCGACUGCGUGAAGUCGGAGUCGCUAGUAAUCCCGAAUCAGCACGUCGGGGUGAAUACGUUUCCGGGCCUUGUACACACCGCCCGUCACACCACGAAAGUCGGCAACACCCGAAGCCGGUGGCCCAACCAGUAAUGGAGGGAGCCGUCGAAGGUGGGGUCGGUGAUUGGGGAGGAGUCGUAACAAGGUAACC
rnacentral:rRNA from 1 species